GAAGAUGCUGGAGACUUUGUUGCAAGAAAGGAUGGCUUUAGGUCAUGUUGCUGAGGCCUGAUCUUAAAGAUCUAAUUGCUAUUGGAAGAGAAUCCUGUUUCCCAACUGGGCCUCCCCUCUGGAGAUGGAGCAAGGAAGACUGUCCAACUCUGCUCUGGGCACCCUGCUGAUGGAUGAGGUGUCAGGCCAGUCGUCAUGUGAGGACUGGUUUCCAAAUGAUGAGAAAACUGAGGCUCUGAGAGAUGACAUCAUAAAGCCUUGUAAGACCCAGUUGUUGUGCUCCACCUUCAUACCUUCACCUAUGUUAGAACUUCUGAGAAGCUGAAGCAUCACAUAUAAGAAGCCAAGACCAUCCUCAAGGAGUUUAAUGAAUGUGACAUCACAAGAAAAAUAUGCAUCAACAUUGAAAAGCAAAGCCUUCCAGCCAGUUCAAUGGUGGGAGUCUCCCCCUGCUCUUCCUGCACAAUCAUUUCCCAUUGAGGAAGAAUGUGAAAAUGACGCACAGGCGAGGGAGGCAUACUAUAAGACCGCUUCUUACCUUUCGUUUCCUGGAGCCAAUAUGAAUGAAGACCCAGAGAG
rnacentral:antisense_RNA from 1 species